rnacentral:rRNA from 1 species
AACGAACGCUGGCGGCAGGCCUAACACAUGCAAGUCGAGCGCGCCCUUCGGGGUGUGCGGCGGACGGGUGAGUAACGCGUGGGAACGUGCCCUUUUCUACGGCAUAGCCUCGGGAAACUGAGAGUAAUACCGUAUACGCCCUUUUGGGGGAAGAUUUAUCGGAAAAGGAUCGGCCCGCGUUGGAUUCGGUCGUUGUUGGGGUAAUGGCCUCCCAAGCCGUCGAUUCAUAGCUGGUUUGAGAGGAUGAUCAGCCACACUGGGACGGAGACACGGCCCAGAAUCCUACGGGAGGCAGCAGUGGGGAAUCUUAGACAAUGGGGGCAACCCUGAUCGAGCCAGGCCGCGUGAGUGAUGAAGGCCUUAGGGUUGUAAAGCUCAUUCAGCUGGGAAGAUAAUGACGGUACCAGCAGAAGAAGCCCCGGCUAACUCCGUG